AGUGAACGCUGGCGGCAGGCCUAACACAUGCAAGUCGAGCGGCAGCGGGUCCUUCGGGCUGCCGGCGAGCGGCGGACGGGUGAGGAAUACAUCGGAAUCUGCCCUGUCGUGGGGGAUAACCUAGGGAAACUUAGGCUAAUACCGCAUACGACCUACGGGUGAAAGCGGGGGAUCGCAAGACCUCGCGCGACAGGAUGAGCCGAUGUCCGAUUAGCUAGUUGGCGGGGUAAAGGCCCACCAAGGCGACGAUCGGUAGCUGGUCUGAGAGGAUGAUCAGCCACACUGGGACUGAGACACGGCCCAGACUCCUACGGGAGGCAGCAGUGGGGAAUAUUGGACAAUGGGCGCAAGCCUGAUCCAGCCAUGCCGCGUGGGUGAAGAAGGCCUUCGGGUUGUAAAGCCCUUUUGUCCGGGAAGAAAUCGUCUGGGCUAAUACCCCGGGCGGAUGACGGUACCGGAAGAAUAAGCACCGGCUAACUUCGG
rnacentral:rRNA from 1 species